CGUGAAUCCAGUUACAGCUCCAACAGACGCCAACCACGUGGUCUGCUUGCCCUUUUAUCUGGGGGAGAAGAGGAAGUAACGGAAAGGAAACCCACCAACCAGCUUCCUGAGCCACUGCAAGUUGCUGCCUGGGGGAUGACAGGAAGCUAAACCUUGCAAGGGGACCCUCUGACCUAUCUGAGCCCUGUGGGAUUUCAGCCCUUCAUUCCAGUGGUGCCAGGACUUCUCCUGCAGCCUGUGCUUAGACAAGCAAAUAUUUAAUCAUGCAAUUAUUCAGGUGAAGCAAUUUGAGAACAGAGAGAUGAAGCAAAUCAUCCAGAGAUUUCAACAAACAGCAAAACCAAGACUCUGGCUGUCCUGCCUCUCCACUCUCCUCUUCAUGUCAGGCCAUUGAGCUUUGAACUUCUGAAUACAUUUUGCUCAUCCUUCUGGAGCAUUUCACUAAUUGCUGAAACAUUAAAAUAUAAUUCAGGAUGACAUUCAUCACUGAAAUCUGACUUAACAAGAGGCAAUAAGCUGAAAGCAUGGAAAAAAGGGGAAAAAUGCUUUCAGAAAAAAACCCUAAAGUACAUAAUUUGAAAAAAGGUUUUCUUUUUUGGUAGAGGACUACUCACAGAAUGUCCCCAGAUACACCAGAAUUCUGAAAUACUUGCCACACACAAUAAGCAGUGACAUUGUUCUAGUUUGCCAUUAGGUUAACAGUGCUAGACUUCCAGCUAGGUGCUACUUCCCCUGGGCAAACACUUUCCACAGGCUCCCUGGAGAGCCAUCCUAAACAGGUUUCAUGGUAAACAGUUACGCAAGAAUUCACAAAGGUCAUUAGCUGUAAAAAUAUGUAUUCCGUACACUGUCAGCAUUUUUUUUCCUGGGCUAAUGUAAUUACAAAGCAGUAUUGAAACCAACCCAACCUGUUUAUACAGUAGGAAGGGAAAUUACAUAACCCCCACCUAAAAAAUUGAAACAAACCACAAAAACCAACGAGCCAACCAAAAAAAACCCCAAAAACCAAGUGAGAUUUUCACAAUGAUGUUAUGCUUAAAGAUCCAGCAACUAAAAAUGCAUCCAAGUGGACCUGAGACACAAACUAGAAUUCACCCUUACAACAGGACACUGUUUAAAUGCCCUGGACAGGGAAGGAAAAUCUCCACAGAGGACAACUGCAUGUAUGAGAGGGGAGGGCUGCUCUUUGAGUCAGCGAGCAACACCUGCUGCUGGCUCAAGCAGCCACAUCAUACACUCCCUUCCAGAAACCGGUGAAGUUCUGCACUGAAUGUUGUUCCACCUCUACUUUUACCUCCAUGAGGGAAGGCUCCUUCAGAACAUCAAACUCAGACAACCAGAUCACCCUGAAAAAAACGUGUGGGUUCCCUAUGCCAAGGUCUCUGCCGUACCCAGCAGGGUGUGGUUGCUGUGAAGGAAGCAAUGAAGGGCAAAGGGUGGUUUCUGUCAUGCUUGUCAGUGCAGCAGUAAAGGGGACCUGCUCCCAGGGUACAUGACCAGUACCCAGGGUACAGGAAAUGGAGGAGGAAGUGGCACCUCAGAAUGGGCUAGGAAAAUUAUGUAGUACAGCCAACCAAAAACUUAUGAGUAAAAUCCUUCUCCACAUACCCCCAAAUACUUAGGCUGAAU